UACGAAGGGUGCAAGCGUUACUCGGAAUUACUGGGCGUAAAGCGUGCGUAGGUGGUUUGUUAAGUCUGUUGUGAAAGCCCCGGGCUCAACCUGGGAAUGGCAAUGGAUACUGGCAAGCUAGAGUGCGGUAGAGGGUAGUGGAAUUCCCGGUGUAGCGGUGAAAUGCGUAGAUAUCGUCUGGAACGCCGAAGGUGAAAACAGCUCGCUGGGGCCGCGCUGACGCUGAGACACGAAAGCCAGGGGAGCGAACGGG
rnacentral:rRNA from 1 species